GGCCCCAGUGCCGCGCCCGGCCCCAGUGCCGCGCCCGGCCCCAGUGCCGCGCCCGGCCCCAGUGCCGCGCCCGGCCCCAGUGAUGCGCACGGCACCGGUCUCGUGGCCAGCACCAGUGCCACACCCAGAAAAAGAAAAGGUGCUGUGACAAGACACUUUCCGUCAUCGCACAAGAAAGCAAAACUACCAAGACAAACCAUAAUGGAAAAAUUUGCUGAACAAAUGGGCACAAUUCAAGAGCGGCAGCUGGCAGCCGAUCUGCGAUGUGCAGCUGCUUUAGAAAUGUGCGCUUCGGAAAUGAAAAGAAGCAAUGUUCUGCAAGAACAAAUGGUUUUUUCUUUGGAAAGAUUGUUUGAAGUGUUGGGAAAUAAAAAACAAUAAAUAUUUUAAGAAA